GGUUAGUCUGAGCAACCUUCGAGCAAUGGUAUUUACAACUAAUUGAUCACAAUCAGUUACAGAUUCCUUUGUUCCUUCUCCAUUCCCACUGCUCCACUUGACCAGCCUUUU
rnacentral:Y_RNA from 1 species